GAUGAACGCUAGCGGCAGGCUUAAUACAUGCAAGUCGAGGGGCAGCAUGACUGUAGCAAUACAGAUGCUGGCGACCGGCAAACGGGUGCGUAACACGUACGCAACCUUACCGUUACUUGGGAAUAGCCCAGGGAAACUUGGAUUAAUACACCAUAUUAUAUUGGUUGGGCAUCCGACUGAUAUCAAAGUUUUAACGGUAACGGAUGGGCGUGCGGUUGAUUAGGUAGUUGGCGGGGUAACGGCCCACCAAGCCUACGAUCAAUAGCUGAUGUGAGAGCAUGAUCAGCCACACGGGCACUGAGACACGGGCCCGACUCCUACGGGAGGCAGCAGUAAGGAAUAUUGGGCAAUGGACGCAAGUCUGACCCAGCCAUGCCGCGUGAAGGAUGAAGGUCCUCUGGAUUGUAAACUUCUUUUAUCUGGGGCGAAAAUCGGGUAUUCUUAUCCGCUUGACAGUACCAGAGGAAUAAGCACCGGUUAACUCCGUGCCAGCCGCCGCCGUAACAC
rnacentral:rRNA from 1 species